UUGAACGCUGGCGGCAGGCCUAACACAUGCAAGUCGAACGGUAACAGGAAGCAGCUUGCUGCUUYGCUGACGAGUGGCGGACGGGUGAGUAAUGUCUGGGAAACUGCCUGAUGGAGGGGGAUAACUACUGGAAACGGUGGCUAAUACCGCAUAACGUCGCAAGACCAAAGAGGGGGACCUUCGGGCCUCUUGCCAUCAGAUGUGCCCAGAUGGGAUUAGCUWGUUGGUGAGGUAACGGCUCACCAAGGCGACGAUCCCUAGCUGGUCUGAGAGGAUGACCAGCCACACUGGAACUGAGACACGGUCCAGACUCCUACGGGAGGCAGCAGUGGGGAAUAUUGCACAAUGGGCGCAAGCCUGAUGCAGCCAUGCCGCGUGUAUGAAGAAGGCCUUCGGGUUGUAAAGUACUUUCAGCGGGGAGGAAGGUGUUGUGGUUAAUAACCACAGCAAUUGACGUUACCCGCAGAAGAAGCACCGGCUAACUCCGU
rnacentral:rRNA from 1 species